UAUGUGGACACUUUGGGAACCCAAACUUAAAAAGGUACCAUUUCUCCAAGGAACUUAACAUGAAAAAUACAAAAAUGAUGUGUACAAUUAUUGCUCUUUCUAGGCAUUUGAAACUCAUACAACUAAAGUUCGAGAAGAUGAUUCUUUCAUUGUAAUAGUACGAUAAUAUUGUAAAAUUUAUUUGAUUCUGUAGAGGCAUGGAGAUUUGCAAGUGCGGAUACCGGUUCAAGGUAUCUUGUUAUCUUGUGAUUAUUAAGCUGGCUCUACGACUAUAAUGAAUUUCCUUGUGCACUGCAUGCACACAUGUGGUGGGGUGAUGAGUGGCCCGUGCAGUAACGGCGCCUCCGUGAUUUGAAUGAUCUUUUGAUUUCCUCCAAUUUUUCAUACUAUUCGGAAGAUUGCUUACACAUUUUCGAAUCACAAGUCUUGAACAUGGCCUGACUGAGAGUAUUUAUACGAUGGGCAUUCAUGAAGCUCUGACCCUUCUUCAUGCAGUUGAGUUCCAUCCAACUACUCAUUUCAUGAAGUUUUUACCUUCUUUUCUCUUCAUUAUUUUUGUAAGAAGAACUACAACAUAAAAAAGAACGAUCACAUGAGGUUUCAGUGCCUACUCAGAUAAUGAAAGAUAUAUAUUAAGAAGUUCCCGGAUGACGUGGCCAACACUUAUUGCAUGCUUGGAUGUCCAAGGCUAUAUAUAUAUGUAGUCACACAUCCGCUCACCUUCCUUAGGAAUUAGGAUGUUAAAGGUCCAGUGUUCAUGAGUCUAGAUAUCUUUUCUUUCAUAUUCCUUUCAAUCUAUGAAAUACUCUGAAAUAUUGGAAGAAAGCAAAAGAUCAUGGUGAGCAUUUACUAUACUACUGCGAGCCAUUUCUACAUGGAACUUCACUCGACAAUAGACAACGAUUUUGUGCAGUUAUUAUUCUUGUGUGUCUAAUAUUUUUUUAUUCAUUCCAAUUAGAUUCAACCAACAUAUAUGACAUAAAGAUUUGAAGGUUGGGAAGCCAGUAGUUGGAGGAUGCUGGUUGCUCAAGUUUGAGGAUAGGGCGUUGUCUUUCAUCACAGAAGCAAAAGUUGAAGAGUUUUUUCAGAUAUGGUCGUCUUGGACGUCGAGUGUCAUGGGAGAAAUACUCAGGAGUAUAGUACUGAAUAACAUUGUAUAAAGAGCUUGACCAAUGGUGUUCAAGGUUUGUUAGGUGUGUUAGAAUAAAGUGGACCACAAAAAAUUGUAUGAAUUACAUAGCAGUGUAAUCCUUCACUACAGGAAUCAGUAAGUUUGCCGUCAGGCAAAAACAAACGGGAAAGGCCUGCGUACAAACAUCAAAGAUUUUUGCCGUCUACCAGUAGACGGCAAAGCAUGACGGCAUACUAUGAGUGGGGAAAGAGAUUCUUUGUCGUCAGUUUUUGAUCGGGCAGGCGGCAAAGAUUUUCCCGACAAUGUGAAUUCUUUGUCGUCAGCUAGUCCGAAAAAGACGGCAAAAAAAGCAACUCACAGAACAGGCCGUCAAACGGACGGAGUUAGUCGCGGAGGUGCAGGGUGAGGCGCUGCACUCGCGGCCUUCAUCUCCCUCUACGUACCCUACUUCACCCCAGAGGGCUUCCGGGGCUGGGCCUGCUGCGGUAUCCACUCCCACGCCGCUCAGACGCAGCGGUCGACAUCUCAUAAAUGCUGAUGGCACAUCUGUCACUGAUGAGGACUCCAUGCUGAAGGCCAUGCGCAGAACGACUUCCCGCAACCUCGACUUUGAAGGUAUCUCUCCGCAAAAAUCUUUUCUUUCUUUUAAUAAUGCCAAAGUUUCAUCAACUAUUUCUAGCCUUGGUAUUUCUUUAGGAAGAAAUGAAAAAAAUGAUAGAAAUCUCUGUUAGGGCUCUUAAACAAGUGGAGUUCGGCCGGCUUACGGUUGCUCCUAAGUCGCUCAUGUUUGUGGACCCCUUAGUACGAGAUGACGAGGACGAGGACGUUGAUGCCAAUCAUGACAGCAAGCUCCUUUCCCAUUUGGUUACUGACACAACUGAAGUAGACUUGGUUGUUGAAGUAGCACGUAGCCCCGGUCUUCCUGAACUGCUGCCAAUAGGAGUUGAAGGCGUAGUUGGCCUGCGCCGCGCCCGUGCGCCACAAAAAAUAACUCUGCUACAGAUUCAACAUCUAGGAGAGCAAGGCUGAAUCCAUGAGUGUAGGUGAAUAAGCAUGCAACAAUUCUACCAAAAAAAGAAUGGGGGAUGGGCAGCUGAAUCUCACCUUGAAGGCACGGCCGGCCUUGAUCCGUGGGGGCGGCGGGCGUCGACCGGCAGGGAGGCAUGUGUUAGGAAGUAUUGGUAUUAGUCUAUGUUUACUUUCCUUGCACCUCAAGUCAUGUGUAAUAUAUAUAUGCCCCUUGGGUCUUCAAUAAAGAUAAGUUGCUUUCCUAACAUGGUAUUAGAGCCUAGGUUUAGGUCUUCAGACGCCGCAACUCGUCCUCACGAUCCAAAUUUUUUUCUUCCUCUCGACGAUCUGUUCUGGGUCGAUCUCGUCUUCUCCCGUCGUUUCCAAGCUGUGGGCACCUACCGAUCGCGGACGCAGAUCCGGUGCUGCUCCAGAUCGAGGCGCCCCUCAUUAGGUCCGGUGCUGCUUCAGAUCGAGCGACACCGAGCCAUCUUGUCAGCCUCUUUGCUCUCCGCUCAGGCCAGCGCUCGGCUGCGCAUGAAGGCUGCUGCUCCAGCCAAACAAGAUUGAUCUGGAUGGACACGGGUAAUGCCCGUGGCUGCUUCUCGUCGUUCCACCAAAGCGUUGCUGCCUUACGCCUGUGCCUCAUGCGUCCCUUUUGCCACGAUCGUGCACAAGGCUGCCUUCUUCCAGCAUGUAUUUCUGCUGCUACCUCUGCCCAGUGCUUGCGUUCUGCAGCUACAACGCAUGGUUGUAUGCUGCUACUAGCUGCUUACUGUUGCUACGUAAUGCUGCUUGCUGCUGCUAUGUGAUGCUUCUGUCACUUGCCGUUCUAUAGUAUACUAUGUGCUUUCUAGUUUUUCUUUUUUUGUUUUCCGCUGCGUCCAUCAAAUCCGUCGAUAUUAUGUGUUUCUCAUGCCAUACGAGUCCACCGUACCAUUGUCCGUCAGCCUUUCUCCGGUUCUGAUCCUUUCUAUACAACUUUUGUGGCCUAUUUGCCCUUGUUGUUUUCUAUAGGAUUUUCUAGACUUCUUUUGCAUUGUCGAUCUACGUCCAUCGUGCCUUAUCCGCCGAGCUUCUUUCGCCGACGGUUGUCGUCGACUAUGAUUUUCUGCACAAUGCUUUAUUUUCUUGAUGUGCCAUCUUCUUUUGACAACCCAUCUUCUUUUGAUACUUAUGUUGUAUCUUCAAGUGAUGCGGUGUCUUCCUCUGAUGUGCCAUAUCUUCGUUGUCUUCCUCUGAUGUGACAUCUUCUUUUGACAACCCAUCUUCUCUUGAUACUUAUCUUGUAUCUUCAAGUGAUGCGGUGUCUACCUCUGAUGUGCCAUCUCUUCGUUAUCUCCUUCGGCGACUCGACAAGUUUUGAAGACUCUUCGUGCUACAACGACACUCUCAAGACGCAGAUUUGGAUUAUCAUUUUUUUAGUAUUACACUUCUUCAAAUGUAAUGCUAUUGCAUAUGCUUUGCAUUUGAGGGGGGGGAUGUUAGGAAGUAUUAGUAUUAGUCUAGGAGUCCUUAUUAGUCUAUGUUUACUUUCCUUGCACCUCAAGUCAUGUGUAAUAUAUAUAUGCCCCUUGGGCCUUCAAUAAAGAUAAGUUACUUUCCUAACAACAGGGACCGGCAGGGAGGCUCGCGGUGGGGUGGGAACGGAGCCACCGGACUUAUCCCCCAGCCAUCUUGCGGAGACCGACCGCUGCGGCCGUGGCGACCGGGGAGGGCGGCGGAGGCGGCGACACGGGAGGGGGCGGCGACCGACGAGGGCUACAACACGCUGCUGUGGCUGAGCUCGCGGGUACCGCUGGUGUGAGAGAGGGGGGCCGCGGUGGUUAUUUUGGGUGAGUGUGGGGUGUGUGUCUGUUUUUUUCUCUUUACCGUCAUGGGUACAGAAAGCAGAAGGCAAAGCAACCCUCUUUGCUGUCAGCUGGAUGGAAUGCAAGACGGCAAAAAUAUAUGCCUUUUUAGGCCCGUUAGAUAGGCCCAUGGAUAACUGUUUGCCGUCAGCUAGAGAGGAGGAAGACGACAAAGAUUCAGCUACCCAACUAGUUGACGGCAAACCUGUCUUUGCCGUGAAGUAUUCUUUGUCGUCUGCUUUAUGUCACUUUAGCCGUCCGUCUUACUUUGUCGUCUGCUCAAAGACGGCAAAAUAAUCUUUGUCGUGUGCCCCUAUAAUAAGCUGACGGCAAAGUAUUUCACAGUAGUCAAAAUAACUGUUCCCGUGGUGCUUGUGCCUUUUGUCUAGUACUGAAUAACGUUGUAUAAAGAGCUCCACCAAUGGUGUUAAAGGUUUGUUAGGUGUGUUAGAAUAAGGUGGACCACAAAAAAUUGUAUGAAUUAC
rnacentral:lncRNA from 1 species